rnacentral:rRNA from 1 species
CGCUGGCGGUAUGCUUAACACAUGCAAGUGGAGCAGUGCCUUCGAGAUUAGUGGCGGACGGGUGAGUAACGCGUGAGAAUCUGGCUCUAGGUCGGGGACAACCACUGGAAACGGUGGCUAAUACCGGAUGUGCCGAGAGGUGAAAGAUUUAUUGCCUAGAGAUGAGCUCGCGUCUGAUUAGCUAGUUGGUGUGGUAAGAGCGCACCAAGGCGACGAUCAGUAGCUGGUCUGAGAGGAUGAUCAGCCACACUGGGACUGAGACACGGCCCACACUCCUACGGGAGGCAGCAGUGGGGAAUUUUCCGCAAUGGGCGAAAGCCUGACGGAGCAAUACCGCGUGAGGGAGGAAGGCUCUGGGGUUGUAAACCUCUUUUCUCAGGGAAUAAGAAAAUGAAGGUACCUGAGGAAUAAGCAUCGGCUAACUCUGGGCCAGCAGCCGCGGUAAUACGGAGGAUGCAAGCGUUAUCCGGAAUGAUUGGGCGUAAAGCGUCCGCAGGUGGCACUGGAAGUCUGAUGUU